rnacentral:misc_RNA from 1 species
GAUGAAGAACGCAGCGAAAUGCGAUAAGUAAUGUGAAUUGCAGAAUUCAGUGAAUCAUCGAAUCUUUGAACGCACAUUGCGCCCGCCAGUAUUCUGGCGGGCAUGCCUGUUCGAGCGUCAUUUCAACCAUCAAGCCCCAGGCUUGUGUUGGAGCCCUGCGGCUGCCGCAGCCUCCCAAAACCAGUGGCGGGCUCGCUAUCACACCGAGUGCAGUAGUUUACUCUUCGCUCAGGGCGUGUGGCGGGUGCUAGCCGUGAAACCCCCAACUUCUCAAGGUUGACCUCGGAUCAGGUAGGAAUACCCGCUGAACUUAAGCAUAUCAAUAAGCGGAGA